GCAUCAACGCAAAGAAGCAAAAUUAGAUGGGUAGCAGAAAUCGACUGAACACUGUCCUCCACCUGACGAAGGCGUCUUACAGUGAAGUAGAUGCUGAAAGAUCACGUCCUUCACUUGAGCAUCUCCGUCCUGCAAAUGAUGCACAUCAAAGCUCCCAGAUUGUUUGGAAACAGGACAAGAAGAUCACGUUAAUGUUCUUUUUCCACCUUGUUUAAAAAGCAGACAGGAGGAAGCCUUAAAGACUCAGGACCAGGAAUACCAACGGAGGGCAAAGAGACAGGAUGUCAGCUAGAAUUCAAGAAAUUGCUUUCUUCAUCCUUGGUAACGAUGGCACUCUCCAAUGCAUUGACUGCCGUUUGUCUCAGGAUUGUAUCUGAAGAUCCAAGUUUCAUCGCAUGUAAUCCCAUCUUCUUAAUCAUUUGGAUUUCCUUCAGUUGGUUCCACAAAUUUGCUUGUGUUUUUCCUUUUGAUUAGGAGUCAAAAGUUUUGAGACACCUUUGGCACACACUUUGGCCAUGUUAAAAUUUUCAGGAAAAUUUGCUGAACUUUCCC